AGGGAAAUAGCUUAGUGGUAGAGCACUUGCUUAGCAUGUAGAAGUCCUGGGUUCAAUCCCCAGUACCUCCA
rnacentral:tRNA from 1 species